rnacentral:lncRNA from 1 species
UGGUUUUAAAUUUGACAGUUCUGUUUUCUCAAGUCAAAGUCAAAAAUCUUAACCUUACUUUUACAAGUGAUUAGGAUUAUUAUUAUUUUAUUUACAUGUAAAUUGAAACAAUAAAUAUUGUGCUGUGUCAUAAUUUCAAACUCAUUAUGUUGCAGUCUUUUCCAGUUGAUAAAAUUGCAAUUCAAAAACUUUAGAUUUGCACUGUAUGGAUGAUGGCACAGGAAGAGAACAAGAGUACAAGAACAUGAAACAUCUUAUUAUGAAUGUAUAUGUAUGUGAUCCUCAAAAAAUUAUUUUACAAAACAAGAUAGAGAAAGAGCUUUAAAAUCCCAAGGAUCCUGCAAAAUGUUUAUUUGGUGUACUAGUCGAAUAAUAGUAUCUAAAAAUAUUGAAACUAUUUUAAAACAUAUUACGGACACGAGGAUGAUAUAGAGCACUUACAUAAAUACCAAAAUCAGAUAAAUAUCUCUUCAAAGUUUAUUUUGAGACUUUCUUCAAAAAUUAAACUUCAGACUGUUCAGGAUAGCAUAAUAGCAUAGGAGGCGAAUUAAAAAGAAUUAAUUUACUUACAAGAAAAGAUAUCACAAACAUUAAACUCUCUUAUGGCAUUGAUUUGAAAGAUGGGUAUAUGUACAAUGAUGAUGCAACCAGUGUUUAUUUUUGGGUUGAAUGCUUACAGACUCAUGUCCAAUAUUAUUUUACAAACAACAGGGCAUACUAAUGGAUAUUCAUUCUGAAUUUAACAUUUAUGAUUUUUGUCUUAUUUUCCUUAAUACUGUGCCAAAAGGAAAUGUUAAUUAAGUUUGGUAAAUCCUUUAUCGCAAUUGAUGGGCUCAAUUCCUAUGACUUUGAACUUAUGACAGUAUUAGUAAAAGAUGAAUUUGGGAAUGGAUUUUGUACUGCUUUCUUAUUUUCAAAUAGAAAAGAUACCUACUUUAAUUUACCAAUUUUUUUAAAUACAUGUCUGUGUUGGUAUUAUAUGUAUAGUCAAAUGUUUUCAUAUCAGGCAUAAGCGACACCUUUUACAAUGCCUCGUCAAAUGUAAUGGGUAUUGCUCCUAAUAGACUGUUAAGUGCCUGGCACAUAAAUAGGGCAUGGUAAGUAAAUCUUGAAUAAAAUAUCUGAUUCUGAAAAAAAUCCUAUUAUGUAUACAAGAUGUAUUAAUGAUGGUUUAGAGAGUAUUAAUAGCUUUUUGGGUAGACUUCUAAGUGAUGCAGAUACAUAAAAUUUUAGUAAGUAUUUCCAGUAGAACUACUGCAAUAACAUCCAACAAUGGGCGUAUUGUUAUAGGAAGGGGUUGUGGAAUUAAUACCAAUAUGACCAUUCAAAAUUUUCAUAAAAUUUUGGAUAAAAGGGUAUCCAUUAGUUGUUAUCAGUUAAGUUUAAAACUUGGCACUCAUGGAGAGCUAUACCAUAAUAUAUAAUAGGUAUAUCUCAUAAUAUUACAUCUCAUAUUGCUCACUCAUUACAAUAGUGAGCAAUACGAGAUAUAACAUAUUAUAGUAUAAGUCUCUGUGCAUGACCAGAUUAACAUGUUUGGUGCCCAUCUCGAACAAGCUCCACUUGGCUGGUACCACAUACUUAAAUCAUUUAUUUAGUUACACAGUACUACUCACAUAACUUAUGUGUCGUCAGUACCUUCCGUAAAACCUUCGUGAUGCUACCCAUACGUCAUGGCCACUGAAUGUGUUAAAGCUUGUUAAUGUAGGAGAGUUAUACUAAAAUAUAUAUCUUAUAUUAUAUUGCCUUAAAUAGAAAAAAUAUCUUAUUUAAAUUGUAUCCAUGUAAGUUUUGAUUUAAUGAAAUAAACCUUUUAAUCAAAAAAGUGUUGUUUACUUGUGUACACCCAGCAAUAUCCUGAUCAUAGAUAAAUAAUAAUAUAGUAUUACCGGAUCCUGAUAUGCAGACGCCAAUAGGGCUUUUCAUUGAUUGUCAUUUGUUUCGAGCUUCUGUCAUGAGUCACAUAAUAUUAAUGUAU